GGUCCCAUGGUGUAAUGGUUAGCACUUUGGACUCUGAAUCCAACAAUCCGAGUUCGAGUCUCGGUGGGACCU
rnacentral:tRNA from 7 species